UACGUAGGUGGCAAGCGUUGUCCGGAAUUAUUGGGCGUAAAGCGCGCGCAGGCGGUCCUUUAAGUCUGAUGUGAAAGCCCACGGCUCAACCGUGGAGGGUCAUUGGAAACUGGGGGACUUGAGUGCAGAAGAGGAAAGCGGAAUUCCACGUGUAGCGGUGAAAUGCGUAGAUAUCCGCAGGAAUACCAGUGGCGAAGGCGGCACUCUGGGUUGUACCUGACGCUGAGGCGCGAAGGCUAGGGGAGCGAACAGG
rnacentral:rRNA from 1 species